AGAUUGAACGCUGGCGACGUGCCUAACACAUGCAAGUCGAGCGGUAACAGGUGUAGCAAUACAUGCUGACGAGCGGCGGACGGGUGAGCAAUGUUUGGGAAUCUGCCUAUUUGUGGGGGACAACCCGGGGAAACUCGGGCUAAUACCGCAUACGCUCUACGGAGGAAAGCCGGGGACCGCAAGGCCUGGCGCAAAUAGAUGAGCCCAAAUCGGAUUAGCUAGUUGGUGAGGUAACGGCUCACCAAGGCGACGAUCCGUAGCUGGUUUGAGAGAACGACCAGCCACACCGGAACUGAGACACGGUCCGGACUCCUACGGGAGGCAGCAGUGGGGAAUAUUGGACAAUGGGCGAAAGCCUGAUCCAGCGACGCCGCGUGGGUGAAGAAGGCCUGCGGGUUGUAAAGCCCUUUCGGUGGGGAUGAAAAGCCUUGGUCUAACACACCAGGGUCUUGACCUAACCCAAGAAAGAAGCACCGGCUAACUCUGUGCCAGCAGCCGCGGUAAUACAGAGGGUGCGAGCGUUAAUCGGAAUUACUGGGCGUAAAGCGCACGUAGGUGGCUUUGCAAGUCGAUUGUGAAAUCCCCGGGCUUAACCUGGGAACUGCAGUCGAGACUGCUUUGCUUGAGUAUGGGAGAGGGAGGUGGAAUUUCCGGUGUAGCGGUGAAAUGCGUAGAUAUCGGAAGGAACAUCAGUGGCGAAGGCGACCUCCUGGACCAAUACUGACACUCAAGUGCGAAAGCGUGGGGAGCAAACAGGAUUAGAUACCCUGGUAGUCCACGCCAUAAACGAUGACAACUGG
rnacentral:rRNA from 1 species